GCCAGUAUAGCUCAGUGGUUGAGCAUCGACCUAUGAACCAGGAGGUCAAGGUUCGAUUCCCUGGUCCAGGCA
rnacentral:tRNA from 1 species